ensembl:snoRNA Gm55357 predicted gene, 22077
GCUAUUCUAUGAUGAGACUCUGGAAUGUGCUGUACACAGCACCCGAGUAACACUGUGGAAGCAUUCCCUGUUGCCUUCCUUCUGAGAAUAGC